UUACGGCCAUAUCAUGUCAAAACUCCGAUUCCCGUACGUUCACCGAAGUUAAGCAACGUCGUGCCCGGUCACCGAGAUGGGUGAUCGCUUUGGAAUACCAGGA